rnacentral:rRNA from 1 species
UGGGGAAUAUUGGACAAUGGGCGAAAGCCUGAUCCAGCCAUGCCGCGUGUGUGAAGAAGGUCUUCGGAUUGUAAAGCACUUUAAGUUGGGAGGAAGGGCAGUAAGCGAAUACCUUGCUGUUUUGACGUUACCGACAGAAUAAGCACCGGCUAACUCUGUGCCAGCAGCCGCGGUAAUACAGAGGGUGCAAGCGUUAAUCGGAAUUACUGGGCGUAAAGCGCGCGUAGGUGGUUCGUUAAGUUGAAUGUGAAAGCCCCGGGCUCAACCUGGGAACUGCAUCCAAAACUGGCGAGCUAGAGUAGGGCAGAGGAUGGUAGAAUUCCAGGUGUAGCGGUGAAAUGCGUAGAGAUCUGGAGGAAUACCGAUGGCGAAGGCAGCCAUCUGGCCUAACACUGACGCUGAGGUACGAAAGCAUGGGGAGCAAACAGG